GACGAACGCUGGCGGCGCGCCUAACACAUGCAAGUCGAACGGAGCUGAGAGGAGCUUGCUUUUCUCAGCUUAGUGGCGAACGGGUGAGUAACGCGUGAGUAACCUGCCCUGGAGUGGGGGACAACAGUUGGAAACGACUGCUAAUACCGCAUAGGCCCACGGAUCCGCAUGGAUCUGCGGGAAAAGGAUUUAUUCGCUUCAGGAUGGACUCGCGUCCAAUUAGCUAGUUGGUGAGGUAACGGCCCACCAAGGCGACGAUUGGUAGCCGGACUGAGAGGUUGAACGGCACAUUGGGACUGAGACACGGCCCAGACUCCUACGGGAGGCAGCAGUGGGGAUAUUGCACAAUGGGGGAAACCCUGAUGCAGCGACGCCGCGUGGAGGAAGAAGGUUUUCGGAUUGUAAACUCCUGUCGUUAGGGACGAUAAUGACGGUACCUAACAAGAAAGCACCGGCUAACUACGUGCCAGCAGCCGCGGUAAU
rnacentral:rRNA from 1 species